rnacentral:tRNA from 1 species
UGCCCUAUUGUAUAAAGGUAGUACAUUAGAUUUUGGUUCUGAUAGUAGAGGUUCGAAUCCUCUUGGGGCAAC